rnacentral:antisense_RNA from 1 species
UGUGGGAGCUGGCUUGCCCGCGAUGGCGGUGGGUCAGCCAUGAAAUUGUCGACAGAUAUUCCGCUAUCGCAGGCAAGCCAGCUCCCACA